rnacentral:rRNA from 1 species
GAUCCUGGCUCAGGAUGAACGCUAGCGACAGGCUUAACACAUGCAAGUCGAGGGGCAGCACAGGGUAGCAAUACUUGGGUGGCGACCGGCGCACGGGUGAGUAACGCGUAUGCAACUUACCUAUCAGAGGGGGAUAGCCCGGCGAAAGUCGGAUUAAUACCCCAUGAAACAGGGGUCCCGCAUGGGAAUAUUUGUUAAAGAUUCAUCGCUGAUANAUAGGCAUGCGUUCCAUUAGGCAG